rnacentral:rRNA from 1 species
AGAGUUUGAUCAUGGCUCAGAUUGAACGCUGGCGGCAGGCCUAACACAUGCAAGUCGAGCGGAUGAAGGGAGCUUGCUCCUGGAUUCAGCGGCGGACGGGUGAGUAAUGCCUAGGAAUCUGCCUGGUAGUGGGGGAUAACGUCCGGAAACGGGCGCUAAUACCGCAUACGUCCUGAGGGAGAAAGUGGGGGAUCUUCGGACCUCACGCUAUCAGAUGAGCCUAGGUCGGAUUAGCUAGUUGGUGGGGUAAAGGCCUACCAAGGCGACGAUCCGUAACUGGUCUGAGAGGAUGAUCAGUCACACUGGAACUGAGACACGGUCCAGACUCCUACGGGAGGCAGCAGUGGGGAAUAUUGGACAAUGGGCGAAAGCCUGAUCCAGCCAUGCCGCGUGUGUGAAGAAGGUCUUCGGAUUGUAAAGCACUUUAAGUUGGGAGGAAGGGCAGUAAGUUAAUACCUUGCUGUUUUGACGUUACCAACAGAAUAAGCACCGGCUAACUUCGUGCCAGCAGCCGCGGUAAUACGAAGGGUGCAAGCGUUAAUCGGAAUUACUGGGCGUAAAGCGCGCGUAGGUGGUUCAGCAAGUUGGAUGUGAAAUCCCCGGGCUCAACCUGGGAACUGCAUCCAAAACUACUGAGCUAGAGUACGGUAGAGGGUGGUGGAAUUUCCUGUGUAGCGGUGAAAUGCGUAGAUAUAGGAAGGAACACCAGUGGCGAAGGCGACCACCUGGACUGAUACUGACACUGAGGUGCGAAAGCGUGGGGAGCAAAACAGGAUUAGAUACCCUGGUAGUCCACGCCGUAAACGAUGUCGACUAGCCGUUGGGAUCCUUGAGAUCUUAGUGGCGCAGCUAACGCGAUAAGUCGACCGCCUGGGGAGUACGGCCGCAAGGUUAAAACUCAAAUGAAUUGACGGGGGCCCGCACAAGCGGUGGAGCAUGUGGUUUAAUUCGAAGCAACGCGAAGAACCUUACCUGGCCUUGACAUGCUGAGAACUUUCCAGAGAUGGAUUGGUGCCUUCGGGAACUCAGACACAGGUGCUGCAUGGCUGUCGUCAGCUCGUGUCGUGAGAUGUUGGGUUAAGUCCCGUAACGAGCGCAACCCUUGUCCUUAGUUACCAGCACCUCGGGUGGGCACUCUAAGGAGACUGCCGGUGACAAACCGGAGGAAGGUGGGGAUGACGUCAAGUCAUCAUGGCCCCUUACGGCCAGGGCUACACACGUGCUACAAUGGUCGGUACAAAGGGUUGCCAAGCCGCGAGGUGGAGCUAAUCCCAUAAAACCGAUCGUAGUCCGGAUCGCAGUCUGCAACUCGACUGCGUGAAGUCGGAAUCGCUAGUAAUCGUGAAUCAGAAUGUCACGGUGAAUACGUUCCCGGGCCUUGUACACACCGCCCGUCACACCAUGGGAGUGGGUUGCUCCAGAAGUAGCUAGUCUAACCGCAAGGGGGACGGUUACCACGGAGUGAUUCAUGACUGGGGUGAAGUCGUAACAAGGUA